rnacentral:rRNA from 1 species
GGGUAACGGCUACCAAGGCGACGAUGCGUAGCCGACCUGAGAGGGUGAUCGGCCACAUUGGGACUGAGACACGGCCCAGACUCCUACGGGAGGCAGCAGUGGGGAAUAUUGCACAAUGGGGGAAACCCUGAUGCAGCAACGCCGCGUGAGUGAUGAAGGUUUUCGGAUCGUAAAGCUCUGUCUUUGGGGAAGAUAAUGACGGUACCCAAGGAGGAAGCCACGGCUAACUAC